UGCGUAUGGUGCAAGCGUUAUCCGGAUUUACUGGGUGUAAAGGGAGCGCAGGCGGCAUGGCAAGCCUGAUGUGAAAGCCCGCGGCCCAACCGCGGGACUGCAUUGGGAACUACCGGGCUGGAGUGCCGGAGAGGUAGGCGGAAUUCCUAGUGUAGCGGUGAAAUGCGUGGAUAUUAGGAGGAACACCAGUGGCGAAGGCGGCCUACUGGACGGUGACUGACGCUGAGGCUCGAAAGCGUGGGGAGCAAACAGG
rnacentral:rRNA from 1 species